rnacentral:rRNA from 1 species
CACGUAGGGUGCGAGCGUUGUCCGGAAUUAUUGGGCGUAAAGAGCUCGUAGGCGGUGUGUCGCGUCGGCCGUGAAAACCUGCAGCUUAACUGUGGGCGUGCGGUCGAUACGGGCAUCACUGGAGUUCGGCAGGGGAGACUGGAAUUCCUGUGUAGCGGUGAAAUGCGCAGAUAUCAGGAGGAACACCGGUGGCGAAGGCGGGUCUCUGGGCCGAUACUGACGCUGAGGUGCGAGAGCGUGGGGAGCGAACCGG